AUCCAGCCAAACUACCUCUGCUGGGGAAAAAAAGAAAAUAAGCGUAGGCAGAGAAAUACAUUUUUCUUCCAAAACCAGCUUUAAACCAGAAGACAGCAAAACUCCCUUAAUUUGGGAAGUCUCAAGACAACAGGUGGUGUGGUGAGAGCUGCAGUGUCAUCUCUUUCAGACAGGCUGCAGUCUCUUUAUCCUGCGAUAUUCCAGCCUCUCGAAAAAUGAAAAGAGAAAGCGGAAAACCUACAGAAGGAAGGGGGAAUGGGUUGAGGAUGACAUCAGGUUAAAAAGGGAGAGCAAGAUUGCCAAAAAGGAAUGGGCACCACUUGGAGCAGAUGCAUCUGUGCUGGAUAACUGGCCUUUGCCAGGAUGCUGGGCAUGAACCACUGAAAGAAUGAAUUCAAAAUGUGGCUUGACCCUGUGAUGCACUUGGCAGCUGAGCCUCCCUAUGUGGUCCCGGGCUCCAGAGGCACUCAAUGAGGGCAGCAAGGGUUGUUUUUUCUUUCUCUUUCCCUUCUGUUUAUUCAGCAAAGUUAAUUUAAAAGCUGAUUCCUGCUUACAUGGAGACAUCACCGGGACUGGUGUCAGGAGGAGGAGGAGGGGUAAGAGUGGUUGCAUGGUUUCCCCACCCAGAGACGAGCUUGGUCUCCAAACUGAGAUUUCUCUUCUGACGGUGGAGGCCAGAGUUUGGAAGAGCACGGGAGUCGCUGGGUUUGGUGGCUAGAUUCCUUGUGGGAUUUUCAAGGAGGUGGUACACCUCUUUUUCGUCUUUGUGAAAUGGGAAAAAUAUUCCUUCCCUGGCCUGUAGCACUGCGGUGAAGCAGUAUGUGCUAGAGACUCUGCAAGGUGCUAAAUAGUGUAGUAGCAGGGGGACCCAUCCACGUCUUGCUCUGGGCAAAGCAUUCUGAGAACAGCCUGUCAGUGCAGCUAAUGGGAUAUGUCCCAUGGUGUUUGUAGGUUCAUGAAAUCUUUGUUCCCUUGUAAUUGAUGUUGGCACUUAGCACCACAAGCUGUGCUCCUGGAAGCCAACCUCCCCGCAUAGCUGAUUUUAUGGUAUGGGAGGCUUGGUGCUAUAGCAUUCAUUCUUUCCAUCAUGCUGAACAAUGAAAUUAAGUCAAACUAAAAGCAUCUUUCUGUAGACUGAAAUUUUCCCAUAUUCUUUUGGGUCUAUUGCAUGGUGGCAGAGUGUAAGAAAACCUUAAAACAUGGAAAUGUAAUAAUAAACAAUAAUAAUAAUAUAUAUAUUAAAAAAAAAAGAACAGUUUUGCUGUUUUAUAUAAUAUUGAAGUGAUGGGGUUUAGUUUUGGUAGACAAUCUUCUACUUUGGUCUUAAAAUGAAAGGAAGUUAUGACAACUUCUGGACAGAAAGUGGGAGAAAACACCACAAAAUAGCCUUUUUCUCAGGAUCUAUUUGGAGCUGAUUGAUUGUGAUUUAAAUACAGAAUUCAUAAAAAUAAAAAUUAAAAGUAAAAAGUUUAACAAAAGUUGAAACUGGAGGAAAGGAUUUGAAAUUUCUGAUCAGGAAGUUACAUAUACAAGGUAAUUACAUUUUCUGUGAAAUAAAGAACAAAUGCAAUUUUAUGCAAUUUUCUCUGUUUCCAGCAUAUUCCCCUCACUAGCUGCAAUCCUGUCCAGCUGUGGGCAGAACCACAGAGCAUAGGAAAGGAGACUUUACCUUGGUAAUCUAGCAGACUACCAAGGAUCAGAAAGAUGCUUAAUUCCGCAUCUUUAUGUUAUGGAAGCAUCCUGAUUCUUGGUGUGUGGGUGUUUAUGUGUGUGGGUACACUUUUUAUUUUCAUAAUUUUUCCUUUCCCCUUUAU